rnacentral:rRNA from 1 species
CUAGCUGGUCUGAGAGGAUGACCAGCCACACUGGAACUGAGACACGGUCCAGACUCCUACGGGAGGCAGCAGUGGGGAAUAUUGCACAAUGGGCGCAAGCCUGAUGCAGCCAUGCCGCGUGUAUGAAGAAGGCCUUCGGGUUGUAAAGUACUUUCAGCGGGGAGGAAGGGAGUAAAGUUAAUACCUUUGCUCAUUGACGUUACCCGCAGAAGAAGCACCGGCUAACUCCGUGCCAGCAGCCGCGGUAAUACGGAGGGUGCAAGCGUUAAUCGGAAUUACUGGGCGUAAAGCGCACGCAGGCGGUUUGUUAAGUCAGAUGUGAAAUCCCCGGGCUCAACCUGGGAACUGCAUCUGAUACUGGCAAGC